rnacentral:rRNA from 1 species
CGUACACUCCUACGGGAGGCAGCAGUGGGGAAUAUUGCACAAUGGGCGCAAGCCUGAUGCAGCCAUGCCGCGUGUAUGAAGAAGGCCUUCGGGUUGUAAAGUACUUUCAGCGGGGAGGAAGGCGAUAAGGUUAAUAACCUUGUCGAUUGACGUUACCCGCAGAAGAAGCACCGGCUAACUCCGUGCCAGCAGCCGCGGUAAUACGGAGGGUGCAAGCGUUAAUCGGAAUUACUGGGCGUAAAGCGCACGCAGGCGGUCUGUCAAGUCGGAUGUGAAAUCCCCGGGCUCAACCUGGGAACUGCAUUCGAAACUGGCAGGCUAGAGUCUUGUAGAGGGGGGUAGAAUUCCAGGUGUAGCGGUGAAAUGCGUAGAGAUCUGGAGGAAUACCGGUGGCGAAGGCGGCCCCCUGGACAAAGACUGACGCUCAGGUGCGAAAGCGUGGGGAGCAAACAGGAUUAGAAACCCUUGUAGUCCCAUGA